rnacentral:rRNA from 1 species
GUGAGGAAUUUUCCGCAAUGGGCGAAAGCCUGACGGAGCAAUGCCGCGUGAAGGAUGAAGGCCUAUGGGUUGUAAACUUCUUUUCUCAGAAAAGAAUUAUGACGGUAUCUGAGGAAUAAGCAUCGGCUAACUCUCUGCCAGCAGCCGCGGUAAGACAGAGGAUGCAAGCGUUAUCCGGAAUGAUUGGGCGUAAAGCGUCUGUAGGUUGUUUAAAAAGUAUUCUGUCAAAGAUUAGGGCUUAACCCUAGAUAGGCAGAAUAAACUUUUAAGCUAGAGUUUGGUAGAGGCAGAGGGAAUUCCCGGUGGAGCGGUGAAAUGCGUAGAUAUCGGGAGGAACACCAAAGGCGAAGGCACUCUGCUGGGCCAAUACUAACACUGAGAGACGAAAGCGAGGGGAGCAAAUGGGAUUAGAAACCCCUGUAGUCC